rnacentral:pre_miRNA from 1 species
UGCUGCUGCUGCUGCUGAUGCUGAUGAUGAUGAUGAUGAUGUUGCUCAGAAGAAGAGAUUGUCUGUGGCUCGGCACACUCAACAACUCUCUCUUCUCCUUCUGCUGCGACUGCAUCUGCUGCAUCCUCCUCCUCCUCCUCCUCAUCAUCAUCAUCAUCAUCAUCAUCAUCAUAAUCA